GACGAACGCUGGCGGCGUGCCUAAUACAUGCAAGUAGAACGCUGAAGGAGGAGCUUGCUUCUCUGGAUGAGUUGCGAACGGGUGAGUAACGCGUAGGUAACCUGCCUGGUAGCGGGGGAUAACUAUUGGAAACGAUAGCUAAUACCGCAUAAUAGCAGUUGUUGCAUGAUAACUGUUUGAAAGGUGCAAUUGCACCACUACCAGAUGGACCUGCGUUGUAUUAGCUAGUUGGUGGGGUAACGGCUCACCAAGGCGACGAUACAUAGCCGACCUGAGAGGGGGCUCGGCCACCCUGGGACUGAGACACGGCCCAGACUCCUACGGGAGGCAGCAGUAGGGAAUCUUCGGCAAUGGACGGAAGUCUGACCGAGCAACGCCGCGUGAGUGAAGAAGGUUUUCGGAUCGUAAAGCUCUGUUGUAAGAGAAGAACGAGUGUGAGAGUGGAAAGUUCACACUGUGACGGUAUCUUACCAGAAAGGGACGGCUAACUACGUG
rnacentral:rRNA from 1 species